rnacentral:tRNA from 1 species
GGACAGAUGGCCGAGCUGGUUAUGGCGCCAGGUUAAGGUCAACCAAACCGAAUCCUGGUCACGAAAGUGGCGUGGGUUCAAGUCCCACUCUGUUCA